GCUGCACGGAGUUCAUUUUGGAAUUGCAGGCAUCUUUCCAGCUUUCUGUACACUAAUUACUGCAACCAAAACUACAAGAAGAAUGACUGACAGAGAAGCAAAGGCAAACUGCAAAAGGCAAACAGCAGCGUGGACAUGUUGUUUUGGGCACCUGGAGCAGCUGGCUGAAAGGGUCUCUGGGCUGGAACCCAGAGGAGCGGCUGGGCGUGGCUUCCCCUACCAGCCCAAAGAGGGUGGGGAUAUGAAGACACCAGAGCCAAGGGCUGACAGG